UUCUGCACAGGCUAUGGCUCAAAUCAAAAGCAGGUGAUGGUGGCACUCGUAUCCGAGAUAUUCUAGCUUCACUUCUGUACAAUGGCGGAGAUGCAUCUUCCAUCUUCAUAUACAGCCAUCGAUCAUCUUUAUUUGCAGUCUACGAGUCAGACACACUCUCAGUGACUAAUAAGUUACUGCAUACAGGAGUAUUCAAAAGCAAGUCUUCCUCAUCAGAAAAGUGUUCUACGAGGUUGAGGUGAUGGGGGCGUAACAUAACAGGUUUCUGUGGGAACCAGGCACAAACACACACCUACGACGAAUUUACCUGGUCGACCAGCAGGGGGCAAAACCGACCUGAGCUCACAGUCACUGAACUCCUCACUCUGGACGUAACUUCACGUCCAUCAGAGAGUCUGUGGCCUGAGAACACUGAACCGAAUCCACCGCUGCCGAGCAGAGGACCACAGUGAUACUGGCUGCAGAACGGUUCUUUCACUGAGGGGAGAGAACAUGGAAUCAUCAGCUGUGGAACAAUAUGAUAAAAUAAACCCCCAACAGACCAACAGUCGUCCUGUUUAUUUCCUCCUGAUCUGUUUCUGUGGCCAAAAAUAAAACCCCCUGAGGUUUGUGUUAAUUCCAACAA